rnacentral:rRNA from 1 species
UACGGAGGGUGCAAGCGUUGUUCGGAAUCAUUGGGCGUAAAGCGCGUGUAGGCGGUUUCCUAAGUCUGAUGUGAAAGCCCGGGGCUUAACUCCGGAACUGCAUUGGAUACUGGGAGACUAGAGGAUGGUAGAGGAUGGUGGAAUUCCUGGUGUAGGGGUGAAAUCCGUAGAGAUCAGGAGGAACAUCAGUGGCGAAGGCGGCCAUCUGGACCAUAUCUGACGCUGAGACGCAAAAGCGUGGGGAGCAAACAGG